rnacentral:rRNA from 1 species
CUACGGGGGGCUCCAGUGGGGAAUCUUGCACAAUGGACGAAAGUCUGAUGCAGCGAUCCCGCGUGGAGGACGACGCCCUAUGGGGUGUAAACUCCUUUUCUGGUGGAAGAAGAAUGACGGUACACCAGGAAUAAGAGACGGCUAACUACGUGCCAGCAGCCGCGGUAAUACGUAGGUCUCGAGCGUUAUCCGGAUUUACUGGGCGUAAAGCGUCCGUAGCCUGAUAUAUAAGUCUGUUUUCAAAUACUAUGGCUCAACCAUAGCAAGGGGAUGGAUACUGUAUAUCUAGAGACUGUUAGAGGUUAGUGGAAUUUCAGGUGGAGCGGUGAAAUGUGUUGAUAUCUGAAAGAAUGCCGAAAGCGAAAGCAGCUAACUAUGAUAAGUCUGACGGUGAUGGACGAAAGCUUGGGGAGCGAACGGGAUUAGAUACCCCGGUAGUC